AAGCGCUUAUGACCAGACUUGGGCUUGGUUGACCAACGGGAGUUCUCUCCCGUGCACUCUUCCUCGUCCAGGCCAGCAUCAGUUCGCUGCGGGGGAUAAAAGCUUCGGGAAUGUGGCUCCCUCGGGAGUGUUAUAGCCCGUUGCACAAUACCCUGCGGUGGACUGAGGUUCGCGUUCUGCAAGGAUGCUGGCGUAAUGGUCAUCAG
rnacentral:rRNA from 1 species